GUUAUCUGGUUAACUAGUUUCCCUGAGAGCAGGCCUUGUUAAGAACAGAGUGCUCUGGUAUAUUUCAAAUGGCUCCUUUUCCCCUCCCCCUCGGAAGCCCAAGGGGAUUCUGCUCAGAUAUUUACUGUGAGAACUCCACCAAGUUCUUGGAGGUAAAACUCACAUAAGUUUGGGGCCCUCCCUAAGACUUGGUCCCCCUGAAGUUUUUAACUUUCAGACUUGUCCACAUUGAGUCUUCUUUAAUUCAUUAAUCACAGUGCAGGUUUUCCUCCCCCUGCACUGGUUCCCACAGCAGUAUCCACUGAAGACUGCUCAGCUCCUGGUAACUGUUACUGAGCCCUAAAGGACCGGUGAACCGCAAGUGGGUCCUGUUGCCCAGAGCUGCUCGCGCCAGUAGGAGAGCGGGUUCAAGCAGCAGAGCGGAAACUUUAUUCGUUGAUCAAUGAAUGGAGGAGGCAGAGCUCAUGCUCUAAAAACACCUUCUCCUCAAAGGGAAGUUGGGUCAGAAAUAUGAUUUUGGGGCCGGCCCUGUGGUCAAAUGCUUAAGUUCGCGUGCUCAGCUUCAGCAGCCUGGGGUUUGCCAGUUCGGAUCUUGGGUGCGGACCUACACACUGCUCAUCGAGUCAUGCUGUGGAGGCAUCCCACACAGAAGAACUAGAAUGACUUCCAACUUGGCUAUACAACCAUGUACUGGGACUUUAGGGAGGGAAAAAAAAGAAAUAUGAUUUUUUUAA
rnacentral:lncRNA from 1 species